rnacentral:rRNA from 1 species
UACGUAGGUGGCAAGCGUUAUCCGGAUUUACUGGGCGUAAAGAGGGUGUAGGUGGCCCCUUAAGUCGGAUGUCAAAUCUCUCGGCUUAACUGAGAGCGACCAUCCGAUACUGUGGGGCUAGAGUGCAGCAGAGGAAAGCGGAAUUCCCGGUGUAGUGGUGAAAUGCGUAGAUAUCGGGAGGAACACCAGUGGCGAAGGCGGCUUUCUGGGCUGUUACUGACACUGUGGCCCGUAAGCGUGGGGAG